rnacentral:rRNA from 1 species
UACGAAGGGGGCUAGCGUUGCUCGGAAUCACUGGGCGUAAAGCGCACGUAGGCGGACUCUUAAGUCGGUGGUGAAAUCCUGGAGCUCAACUCCAGAACUGCCUUUGAUACUGGCGAUCUCGAGUCCGGGAGAGGUGAGUGGAACUGCGAGUGUAGAGGUGAAAUUCGUAGAUAUUCGCAAGAACACCAGUGGCGAAGGCGGCUCACUGGCCCGGUACUGACGCUGAGGUGCGAAAGCGUGGGGAGCGAACAGG